GGUGAAGAGAAGCUUGCUUCUUGGAUCAGUGGCGAACGGGUGAGUAACACGUGAGCAAUCUGCCCUUGACUCUGGGAUAAGCGUUGGAAACGACGUCUAAUACCGGAUACGACCCUCGGAGGCAUCUCCUGGGGGUGGAAAGAAUUUUGGUCAAGGAUGAGCUCGCGGCCUAUCAGCUAGUUGGUGAGGUAAUGGCUCACCAAGGCGACGACGGGUAGCCGGCCUGAGAGGGUGACCGGCCACACUGGGACUGAGACACGGCCCAGACUCCUACGGGAGGCAGCAGUGGGGAAUAUUGCACAAUGGGCGAAAGCCUGAUGCAGCAACGCCGCGUGAGGGACGAAGGCCUUCGGGUUGUAAACCUCUUUUAGUAGGGAAGAAGCGAAAGUGACGGUACCUGCAGAAAAAGCACCGGCUAACUACGUGCCAGCAGCCGCGGUAAUACGUAGGGUGCAAGCGUUGUCCGGAAUUAUUGGGCGUAAAGAGCUCGUAGGCGGUUUGUCGCGUCUGCUGUGAAAACCCGAGGCUCAACCUCGGGCCUGCAGUGGGUACGGGCAGACUAGAGUGCGGUAGGGGAGAUUGGAAUUCCUGGUGUAGCGGUGGAAUGCGCAGAUAUCAGGAGGAACACCAAUGGCGAAGGCAGAUCUCUGGGCCGUAACUGACGCUGAGGAGCGAAAGCAUGGGGAGCGAACAGGAUUAGAUACCCUGGUAGUCCAUGCCGUAAACGUUGGGAACUAGAUGUGGGGACCAUUCCACGGUCUCCGUGUCGCAGCUAACGCAUUAAGUUCCCCGCCUGGGGAGUACGGCCGCAAGGCUAAAACUCAAAGGAAUUGACGGGGGCCCGCACAAGCGGCGGAGCAUGCGGAUUAAUUCGAUGCAACGCGAAGAACCUUACCAAGGCUUGACAUAUAGAGGAAACGGCUGGAAACAGUCGCCCCGCAAGGUCUCUAUACAGGUGGUGCAUGGUUGUCGUCAGCUCGUGUCGUGAGAUGUUGGGUUAAGUCCCGCAACGAGCGCAACCCUCGUCCUAUGUUGCCAGCACGUAAUGGUGGGAACUCAUGGGAUACUGCCGGGGUCAACUCGGAGGAAGGUGGGGAUGACGUCAAAUCAUCAUGCCCCUUAUGUCUUGGGCUUCACGCAUGCUACAAUGGCCGGUACAAAGGGCUGCAAUACCGUAAGGUGGAGCGAAUCCCAAAAAGCCGGUCUCAGUUCGGAUUGAGGUCUGCAACUCGACCUCAUGAAGUCGGAGUCGCUAGUAAUCGCAGAUCAGCAACGCUGCGGUGAAUACGUUCCCGGGCCUUGUACACACCGCCCGUCAAGUCAUGAAAGUCGGUAACACCCGAAGCCAGUGGCCUAACCGCAAGGAAGGAGC
rnacentral:rRNA from 1 species